rnacentral:rRNA from 1 species
AUUGAACGCUGGCGGCAGGCCUAACACAUGCAAGUCGAGCGGAGCGGCGGACGGGUGAGUAAUGCCUAGGAAUCUGCCUGGUAGUGGGGGAUAACGUCCGGAAACGGGCGCUAAUACCGCAUACUAUCAGAUGAGCCUAGGUCGGAUUAGCUAGUAGGUAAGGUAACGGCUUACCUAGGCGACGAUCCCUAGCUGGUCUGAGAGGAUGAUCAGCCACACUGGGACUGAGAAACGGCCCAGACUCCUACGGGAGGCAGCAGUGGGGAAUAUUGCACAAUGGGCGCAAGCCUGAUGCAGCCAUGCCGCGUGUAUGAAGAAGGCCUUCGGGUUGUAAAGUACUUUCAGUCGGGAGGCGUUACCGACAGAAGAAGCACCGGCUAACUCCGUGCCAGCAGCCGCGGUAAUAC